GGCUACAUCAUGCUGAAAUACCAGUUCCCAUACAAUCACUGAAGUUAAGCAACAUUGAGCCUGGUCAGUACCUAAAUGGGUGACCACUUUAUAAUUCUUGGUGCUGCAAGC